UGCCAGCAGCCGCGGUAAUACGAACUGUGCGAACGUUAUUCGGAAUCACUGGGCUUAAAGGGUGCGUAGGCGGGUUUAAAGGUCUGAUGUGAAAGCCCACGGCUCAACCGUGGAAUUGCGUUGGAAACCAUAAAUCUUGAGGGAGUCAGAGGUGAGCGGAACUGAUGGUGGAGCGGUGAAAUGCGUUGAUAUCAUCAGGAACACCGGUGGCGAAAGCGGCUCACUGGGACUUUUCUGACGCUGAGGCACGAAAGCUAGGGGAGCGAACGGGAUUAGAUA
rnacentral:rRNA from 1 species